rnacentral:tRNA from 1 species
GAGAUAAUAGUAUAUAAUAGUAUAAUUUAUUUUCAAUAAAUAGGAAAGUAUCUUG